rnacentral:lncRNA from 1 species
GCGUGGAAUUCUAUGUCCCCAGGACCCGGACUGACGGAGGCUUGAAGAGAAAAGCAAAGCAUUACGAUCCUCCGUCACCUGACCAAGCAUCAACCCCCGCCAAGCAGCCACUGGGGGACUCCUGCUGGGCCACACCACCAGGCCAGCUGCGGCUGUGGCCCUCACUGACGCCAGAUGUGGCCCGGCCAGCAAACCCCGGACAGCUCCUGGCUCUGCGGGGGCCGUGGGAGUCCCCUGGCCGGUGGCUGGUGGGUGGCGGGUGCCUACUGGGCACGUUGUUGUCCCCAGGCAGCUCCAGAGCCUUGUUCCAGCUGAGAGAAGGGCCUGCCAUCCAGGAGGAGGGCCGUUUUCUCUCUCCAACUCAGAACUGACGCUUUGCUUUGCUGUUUGUCAGAGUGGUAUGUGCCCCUUGUUAAAAAAAAAGAAGUGAAACAAUGUAAAGCGUUUUGAAUAAAACAGGAAGCUAUGAAGGAGGAAGUCAGGGUGCCCUCCACACCCCACCCAGUGAGCCGUCUGUUGAGUUUCUUUCAGCUUUUAAAUUUUUCAUGUAUUAAUGUCAUAUAUUUUGAAACAAAAUUUGGUCAUUAUGUACAAAAAAUUCUUUUCUAAUUUCUCAUCACACCAGGCCUUGUCCUGAUGAGUACAGUCGACACCGUCUCCUAGAGAGGAGCCGGUGCUUCCUGUGUGGGCGCUCCCCCACCUGUGAAGCCAUCUUCUCUCCUGGGAGCCUGGUUAGCUGUCAACAGCUUCCGGCGUAAAAUGCUGUUGGUGUGUGCACAGCGGUGUGGGGUGAGCUGUCUGCAGGCGAGCUGUGUGGCACGGAUUGCCUGUGCAAGAGGGCGCCCUACCUCAUCUCCCUGGUCACCGUCUCCUGGAGGGAGUACGAGAGUCUACUCUGACCUGGAAGGCUCCCCGAUUCCCCAACUCGUCCACCUCUGCGAUGCCUCCCUAGUUCCCGAGGCGUGUCUACACCAACCUGGGAUGUCUCCCUAAUUCUCUAAGUGUGUCUCCACUGACUUGAUAUGUCUCCCCAUUUCCCAGGUUUGUCUUCAGGGAACUGGGGUGCGUGUAUAAUUCCACAGGUGUAUCUACCGGAAUCUGUGAUGUUCCCUACUUGCCCAGCUACAUCUGUCCUGCCCUUGCAUGUCUCCCUAGUUCCCCAGAAGUGUUUGUGACUCCCCAGAUGUCACUGACUUGGCAUGUCUCCCUGGUUCCAGGCGUGCCUACCCUGACUGAGACGUGCGUGGUCUUUAUUCCCGGUGUGUCUACUAUGACCUGGCAUAGCUCUCUUACUCCCCAAGUGUCUGUACUGGAAGUCCCUCUCGUUGUGAGCUGUGUCUAACCUGACGUGGUUAUCUCCAUAAUUUUCAAGUGUCUACUCUGACCUGGAGUGUCUCCCAUCCUCCCCAAGUGUGUCUUCCCUGUCCUGAGAUGUCUCCCUAGUCCCCCCGGUGUUUCUACCGUACCCUGGGGUGAGUCUGUCUACACUGAUCUUGUGUAUCUCCCUUGUUCCCAGGUGUUUCUGCACUGAACUGGUAUAUUUCUAUAAUGCCCCAAGGGUUUCUACCCUGAUUUUGGAUGUUUUUCUGACUCCUCACUUUGUCUAAACUAACCAGUGAUGUCUCCCUAACUCCCUAGAUGUGUCUACACUGAAUGGGUUACACACCCUAAUAUACAGGUGUGUCCAGAAUCUGCUGUCUCCAGUGUUCCUCAGGUGUGUCUUCCCUGACCUGGCAUACCUCCCUAAUUGCCAGGUGUCUCCACCCAAACAUGGGAUGUCGCCCUAAUCACCCAGGUGUGUCAGCGCUCACCUUGGAUGUCUCCAUCAUUCUUCAGUUAUAUCUACAUUGACCUGGGCUGUUUCUCUAUUUUCUACAUGUGUCUAACACAGUCCGGUUGUGUGUUAAUUCCCUGGGCUUGUCUACACUGAUGAGGGAUGUCUCUAAUUCCUCAAGUUAUUACUCUGACCUGGCUUGUAUCCCGUCUUCCCCAU